GACGAACGCUGGCGGCGUGCUUAACACAUGCAAGUCGAACGGUAAGGCCCUUCGGGGUACACGAGUGGCGAACGGGUGAGUAACACGUGGGUGAUCUGCCCUGCACUUCGGGAUAAGCCUGGGAAACUGGGUCUAAUACCGGAUAGGACCAUGGACUUCACGGUUUGUGGUGGAAAGCUUUUUGCGGUGUGGGAUGGGCCCGCGGCCUAUCAGCUUGUUGGUGGGGUAAUGGCCUACCAAGGCGACGACGGGUAGCCGGCCUGAGAGGGUGUCCGGCCACACUGGGACUGAGAUACGGCCCAGACUCCUACGGGAGGCAGCAGUGGGGAAUAUUGCACAAUGGGCGCAAGCCUGAUGCAGCGACGCCGCGUGAGGGAUGAC
rnacentral:rRNA from 1 species